CCAGACUCCCAAGCACCUGCCCAUCCCACUCCAUAGCCCAGCCACCCACUCUCAUGUACCAUAUGACCAUCCCAGUAAGCAAGCCAACCACUAGAAUUUGACUGGCAUGCACCUGUGACUUACAUAAACCAGACCUCUACAUAGCCUACAUGUCUUCAUUUUGCUGGAGACUGCCCAUCAUCCUAGCCUGUUAUCUGUGAUAAAGCACACUGAAGUUAGGUUUGGAAUGCAUCCUUAUCAUGAAUGCUCUACACCUCCACCUCCAUCUCC